rnacentral:rRNA from 1 species
CCUACGGGUGGCAGCAGUGAGGAAUAUUGGUCAAUGGGCGGGAGCCUGAACCAGCGAAGUAGCGUGAAGGAUGACUGCCCUCCGGGUUGUAAACUUCUUUUAUAAAGGAAUAAAGUGCGGCACGUGUGCCUUUUUGUAUGUACUUUAUGAAUAAGGCUCGGCUAACUCCGUGCCAGCAGCCGCGGUAAUACGGAGGAUCCGAGCGUUAUCCGGAUUUAUUGGGUUUAACGGGAGCGUAGAUGGGUUGUUAAGUCAGUAGUGAAAGUUUGGGGCUCAACCGUAAAAUUGCAAUUGAUACUGGCAGGCUUGAGUACAGUUGAGGUAGGCGGAAUUCGUGGUGUAGCGGUGAAAUGCUUAGAUAUCACGAAGAACUCCGAUUGCGAAGGCAGCUUACUAAACGACCACUGACAUUGAUGCUCGAAAGUGUGGGUAUCAAACAGGAUUAGAUACCCGGGUAGUC